rfam:Hordeum vulgare subsp. vulgare, WGS project CAJW01000000 data, contig: morex_contig_2549665
AUACCUUUCUCGGCCUUUUGGCUAAGAUCAAGUGUAGUAUCUGUUCUUAUCAGUUUAAUAUCUGAUAUGUGGGCCAUGUGCCCACAACGAUAUUAAAUUUAUUUUUUAUGGGGGAGGGCCC